AGUGAACGCUGGCGGUAGGCCUAACACAUGCAAGUCGAACGGCAGCACAGUAAGAGCUUGCUCUUACGGGUGGCGAGUGGCGGACGGGUGAGGAAUACAUCGGAAUCUACUUUUUCGUGGGGGAUAACGUAGGGAAACUUACGCUAAUACCGCAUACGACCUACGGGUGAAAGCAGGGGAUCUUCGGACCUUGCGCGAUUGAAUGAGCCGAUGUCGGAUUAGCUAGUUGGCGGGGUAAAGGCCCACCAAGGCGACGAUCCGUAGCUGGUCUGAGAGGAUGAUCAGCCACACUGGAACUGAGACACGGUCCAGACUCCUACGGGAGGCAGCAGUGGGGAAUAUUGGACAAUGGGCGCAAGCCUGAUCCAGCCAUACCGUGUGGGUGAAGAGGGCCUUCGGGUUGUAAAGCCCUUUUGUUGGGAAAGAAAAGCAGCAGGUUAAUACCCCGCUGUUCUGACGGUACCCAAAGAAUAAGCACCGGCUAACUUCGUG
rnacentral:rRNA from 1 species